AAGUAUUGCACAAUGGGCGCAAGCCUGAUGCAGCCAUGCCGCGUGUAUGAAGAAGGCCUUCGGGUUGUAAAGUACUUUCAGCAGUGAGGAAGGUGGGUAUGGUUAAUAGCAUACUCAUUUGACGUUAGCUGCAGAAGAAGCACCGGCUAACUCCGUGCCAGCAGCCGCGGUAAUACGGAGGGUGCGAGCGUUAAUCGGAAUUACUGGGCGUAAAGCGCAUGCAGGUGGUUUGUUAAGUCAGAUGUGAAAGCCCGGGGCUCAACCUCGGAAUUGCAUUUGAAAACUGGCAAACUAGAGUACUGUAGAGGGGGUAGGAAUUUCAGGUGUAGCGGUGAAAUGCGUAGAGAUCUGAAGGAAUACCGGUGGCGAAGGCGGCCCCCUGGACAGAUACUGACACUCAGAUGCGAAAGCGUGGGGAGCAAACAGGAUUAGAUACCCUGGUAG
rnacentral:rRNA from 1 species